rnacentral:SRP_RNA from 2 species
ACUGGGCAUGAUGACAUUUGCCUAUAGUCCCAGCUAUUCAGGAGGCUGAGGCAGGAGGAUCGCUUGAGCCCAGGAGUUCUGGGUUGUAGUGUGCUAUGCCAAUUGGGUGUCCACACUAAGUUCAGCAUCAGUACAGGGACCUCCUGGGGUGGGGGACCAGCAGAUUGCCUAGGGAAGGGUGAACUGGCCCGGGUUGGAACUGGAGCAGGUCAGAACUGCCAUGCUGAUCAGUCGGGGGUUCCUGCUUGGAAAUAGGCACUGCAUGCCAGCCUGGGGGACAUAGUGAGGGCCCAUCUCUA